rnacentral:rRNA from 1 species
AAAGAAACCAACAGGGAUUGCCCCAGUAACGGCGAGUGAAGCGGCAAGAGCUCAAAUUUGAAAGCUGGCUCCUUCGGGGUCCGCAUUGUAAUUUGCAGAGGAUGCUUCGGGAGCGGUCCCCAUCUAAGUGCCCUGGAACGGGACGUCAUAGAGGGUGAGAAUCCCGUAUGGGAUGGGGUGUCCGCGCCCGUGUGAAGCUCCUUCGACGAGUCGAGUUGUUUGGGAAUGCAGCUCUAAAUGGGUGGUAAAUUUCAUCUAAAGCUAAAUAUUGGCCGGAGACCGAUAGCGCACAAGUAGAGUGAUCGAAAGAUGAAAAGCACUUUGAAAAGAGAGUUAAAAAGCACGUGAAAUUGUUGAAAGGGAAGCGCUUGCGACCAGACUCGCUCGCGGGGUUCAGCCGGCAUUCGUGCCGGUGUACUUCCCCGCGGGCGGGCCAGCGUCGGUUUGGGCGGUCGGUCAAAGGCCCUCGGAAGGUAACGCCCCUCGGGGCGUCUUAUAGCCGAGGGUGCAAUGCGACCUGCCCGGACCGAGGAACGCGCUUCGGCUCGGACGCUGGCAUAAUGGUCGUAAACGAC